ACAGAUGGGAGCUUGCUCCCUGAUGUUAGCGGCGGACGGGUGAGUAACACGUGGGUAACCUGCCUGUAAGACUGGGAUAACUCCGGGAAACCGGGGCUAAUACCGGAUGGUUGUUUGAACCGCAUGGUUCAAACAUAAAAGGUGGCUUCGGCUACCACUUACAGAUGGACCCGCGGCGCAUUAGCUAGUUGGUGAGGUAACGGCUCACCAAGGCGACGAUGCGUAGCCGACCUGAGAGGGUGAUCGGCCACACUGGGACUGAGACACGGCCCAGACUCCUACGGGAGGCAGCAGUAGGGAAUCUUCCGCAAUGGACGAAAGUCUGACGGAGCAACGCCGCGUGAGUGAUGAAGGUUUUCGGAUCGUAAAGCUCUGUUGUUAGGGAAGAACAAGUACCGUUCGAAUAGGGCGGUACCUUGACGGUACCUAACCAGAAAGCCACGGCUAACUACGUGCCAGCAGCCGCGGUAAUACGUAGGUGGCAAGCGUUGUCCGGAAUUAUUGGGCGUAAAGGGCUCGCAGGCGGUUUCUUAAGUCUGAUGUGAAAGCCCCCGGCUCAACCGGGGAGGGUCAUUGGAAACUGGGGAACUUGAGUGCAGAAGAGGAGAGUGGAAUUCCACGUGUAGCGGUGAAAUGCGUAGAGAUGUGGAGGA
rnacentral:rRNA from 1 species